rnacentral:sRNA from 1 species
AUUAAGGUAAUAUUAGAGGAUGACCAAAUUUGACAGCAUUAUUAAUAAAAUAGCCUUCGUGCAGAAAAGUUGGGUAAAUAACAUUUUUUUAUCCUUCGAAAUAACUAUUUUACCCUUUAUAAAUGAGAUAAACUCUUUCUUUCCGACAAUAGCUGCUACAUGUAGGAAACAAAAGAUAAUACGAAAUAAUGAUUACACCGCUACUUCUUAAAAAAUCAUGCAAUAUUAGACCACUACUUAUUAAAAUCACACGCAAUAUCUCUUAUACCUUAAAAAUGUAUACGUAAAAGAAAACUUAGUUAAAAGAUAGCCAUUUAGAAACAGUUGUGAUUGAGUAUAGAAAUAUUGCAUAAGAUAUUUAAGGACAUGCUAUUUAUUUUUAUUAC